GUGCUUGCUUCGGCAGCACAUAUACUAAAAUUGGAGUGAUCAGAGAAAAUUAGCAUGGCCCCUGUGCAAGGAUGACACACAAAGUCGUGAAGCAUUCCAUAUUUUU
rnacentral:snRNA from 1 species